GGAAAGAACGUUGGUUGCCAGAAGACAAGGCGGAAGAGAGACAGAGAGAGAGAGAGAGAGAGAGAGUCGCUAACCUCAGAACCCCUGCAACACCCAAGCGUGAGGACUGGUUCACAUCGUGGAUUCUCCACCUAGCUGUUACCCACAACUAGUGAUGGCUGAAGAGCCGUGAAUGGGGAGAACACCAGCUCACGUUUGGCCAGUACCAGUGUGCCGGGUACUAUUCAAACCGUAGCUGGCCCAUGCCCUCCGGGCCUUGCAAGGAGCUGACCACCAUCCACAGAAAUAAGAGGACCCGACGUGAGACGGAAAGUGAGAGCGGCUGAUUCCCCCCUUCUGGAGAACACAGCGGCACCAGGCCGGCCUGGCCUUUCGCCUGACCGCCCGCGUUUAAGACACCAUCCCUUUAUCUGGCUUUCAUUAGAGCCUCGGCCGCGCCUCUUUUGUGGGAGAGACUUAUGGGAACCCAGGCAGUUUCCCAGCCGCUGUGAUGUUGCUAAAGAUUAAAAAGGAGCUUUGAAGCUGUACCAGUUCUCUCUGCGCCCCCUCGGUACAGGGCCUCAGAAAGACCCAAGCCAUCUGGCAAACCUGACAUAAAGACAAAAUAAAGUGAUUGAGACUGGCUCUUCAAAGCCACAAUGGCA